ensembl:snoRNA
AAACCAGCCAAUUAACCUACUUACAUGAAUGUGUUUCUGUAGAAAUUUUUUAAAAGCUGGCAAUAGUGAUGCCAUUUUCUGAGCUUUAAGGACAACUGAGAUCAUUACAGUCCCUCAAAAUGGCUACAAUC